rnacentral:rRNA from 1 species
AGAGUUUGAUCCUGGCUCAGAUUGAACGCUGGCGGCGUGCCUAACACAUGCAGGUCGAUCGGUAACGCGGGGGCAACCCUGGCGACGAGAGGCGGACGGGUGAGCAAUGCUUGGGAAUCUGCCCAUCAGCGGGGGACAACCCGGGGAAACUCGGGCUAAUACCGCAUACGCUCUACGGAGGAAAGCCGGGGACCGCAAGGCCUGGCACUGACGGAUGAGCCCAAGCCGGAUUAGCUAGUUGGCGGGGUAACGACCCACCAAGGCGACGAUCCGUAGCUGGUCUGAGAGGACGAUCAGCCACACCGGAACUGAGACACGGUCCGGACUCCUACGGGAGGCAGCAGUGGGGAAUAUUGGACAAUGGGGGAAACCCUGAUCCAGCGACGCCGCGUGGGUGAAGAAGGCCUGCGGGUUGUAAAGCCCUUUCGGUAGGGACGAAAGCUUCCGACCUAACACGUCGGAAGGUUGACUUAACCUACAAAAGAAGCACCGGCUAACUCUGUGCCAGCAGCCGCGGUAAU